CAACACGGGCAAGCUAUAGCAACCGUGCCGUGCGAAGUACUAGUAGAUGCGGUCGAUGUGUACGCCACAUCCCAGCGAGCCUGCACGCGUCCUCCUCUCCUAACGCGUGGCCGUGGCCGUGGGCAAUACAUCAUCAGCGGCCACAAACAGCGGCCGCCGCAUCUCACGAGGGGGGAGAAGCACCCUGAUGAUGGGUGAUGGCGCCAUCGAUCGGAAUCGGAAGGGGGGACGGACGAUGGUUGUGCCGCGCGGGCGAUCGAUCGAGGUCAUGGUGGACGCAGCCGAGGAGAUCGAUGAGACGGCCGAUCCAUCGAGGUGGACGCAGCCGACGAGAUGAGACAGCCGAGAACGAUGGAUGAGAUCCUCGAUCGGCCUUCUCAUGUCAUCCAUCCUUCUAAUUCCCUACUAGGUUCCGCUCCGCAUAUGGAUGAGGUGAGAUGGAUGAUGGCAUAUGCUGGUUCGGUGGGUUUCUAGUUGUAGAGUAUGUCUAAAGAAUGGUUGUAGAAUAUAUCCAGCCCAUAUAUAUAUAAUAGUUACGGUAACGAUUCUUAGUAAUUUAAGACAUAAAUACCCACUAUAUAUAGCAGUAUAUAUGUUUUAGAUAAUAAUACGCCAAUUGUUAGUAAUUCAAAACAUAGUAACGAUCGAAGUGAAUGGACCGUCACCAACCCAGAUCCUAUUAUAAGAUUGAAGGUGUGAUUCUGCUGAAAAUACUUACAGUGUGAUUCUGCUGAAAACAGGGGUGAAUUUUCCAUCCAUAUUUAAAAUCCUGUUCUCUUCAA